rnacentral:rRNA from 1 species
GCGGCGGACGGGUGAGUAAUGCCUAGGAAUCUACCUAGUAGUGGGGGAUAACUUGCCGAAAGGUAAGCUAAUACCGCAUACGUCCUACGGGAGAAAGCAGGGGACCUUCGGGCCUUGCGCUAUUAGAUGAGCCUAGGUCGGAUUAGUUAGUUGGUGAGGUAAUGGCUCACCAAGACCGCGAUCCGUAACUGGUCUGAGAGGAUGAUCAGUCACACUGGAACUGAGACACGGUCCAGACUCCUACGGGAGGCAGCAGUGGGGAAUAUUGGACAAUGGGGGAAACCCUGAUCCAGCCAUGCCGCGUGUGUGAAGAAGGUCUUAGGAUUGUAAAGCACUUUAAGUUGGGAGGAAGGGCAGUUAACUAAUAUUUGACUGUUUUGACGUUACCGACAGAAUAAGCACCGGCUAACUUCGUGCCAGCAGCCGCGGUAAUACGAAGGGUGCAAGCGUUAAUCGGAAUUACUGGGCGUAAAGCGCGCGUAGGUGGUUCGUUAAGUUAGGAGUGAAAGCCCCGG